rnacentral:rRNA from 1 species
AUUGAACGCUGGCUGCACGCCUAACACAUGCAAGUCGAGCGGGCUUAAGUCUUCGGACUUAAGUUAGCGGCGUACGGGUGAGUAAUGCGUAGGAAUCUGCCCUGUAGCGUGGGAUAACCUAGGGAAACUUAGGCUAAUACCACAUACUACUCUGAGGAGGAAAGGCCGCCUCUAUUUAUAAGCGGUCACUAUAGGAUGAGCCUACGUCAGAUUAGCUAGUUGGUGAGGUAAAGGCUCACCAAGGCGAUGAUCUGUAGCUGGUCUGAGAGGACGAACAGCCACACUGGGACUGAGACACGGCCCAGACUCCUACGGGAGGCAGCAGUGGGGAAUAUUGGACAAUGGGGGCAACCCUGAUCCAGCGAUGCAGUGUGUGUGAAGAAGGCCUGCGGGUUGUAAAGCACUUUCGGUAGGGAAGAAAGCGUAUAUAUGAAUAAGAUAUACGGAUGACGUUACCUACAAAAGAAGCACCGGCUAACUCUGUGCCAGCAGCCGCGGUAA